GGCCCCUUGGUCAAGCGGUCAAGACACCACCCUUUCACGGUGGUAACAGGGGUUCUAAUACAACCUAGUUGGUA
rnacentral:tRNA from 1 species